rnacentral:tRNA from 1 species
GCAGGGGUCGCCCAGCCUGGUCAACGGCGCUAGGUUGAGGGCCUAGUCCUUUAGAGGUUCGUGGGUUCAAAUCCCACCCCCUGCA